rnacentral:rRNA from 1 species
UUUAUUGGAGAGUUUGAUCCUGGCUCAGGACGAACGCUGGCGGCGUGCCUAAUACAUGCAAGUCGAGCGAAUCUGAGGGAGCUUGCUCCCGAAGAUUAGCGGCGGACGGGUGAGUAACACGUGGGUAACCUGCCUGUAAGAUUGGGAUAACUCCGGGAAACCGGAGCUAAUACCGGAUAACAUUUCGAACCGCAUGGUUCGAAGUUGAAAGGUGGCUUUUGCUACCACUUACAGAUGGACCCGCGGCGCAUUAGCUAGUUGGUGAGGUAACGGCUCACCAAGGCGACGAUGCGUAGCCGACCUGAGAGGGUGAUCGGCCACACUGGGACUGAGACACGGCCCAGACUCCUACGGGAGGCAGCAGUAGGGAAUCUUCCGCAAUGGACGAAAGUCUGACGGAGCAACG